rnacentral:lncRNA from 1 species
AAGCCUAGUCUGCCCCUCCUGUUUUACUGCAGAUUUCCGAGGCUUGCAGCCAGCAGCAUCGAGAGUCUCUAGGCUGAAAUUUUAUAUAAAUGGACGCACAAGGUUAGAUUCUAGUUGUCGUGGUUGUGUUUGUUCAUCUUGUAAUGUAUCUAUGUAACGUACCAAAGUGGAUUUGUGUGCAUUAUUGCAUGUAAUAAGCACCCUUGGAUGUCUCAUCAUCGGUCGUGUUGGUCCUGUCAUGAGCAUGUUGUGAACCUCCUUAUGUCACUCAGGCCUGGGCGAAGCAGGCAGGAAACAGCCACACUGAGUCAGAGUGUGAGAGUGAGGAUGUGUGUGAAAUUCAGAUAAAAGAAUAUACAUAGAGGUGAAAUUGGAUAGUUGAACAGCACAGCUAUCAAUGUAUCUCAACAAUCAUCUGCAGACCUGCAACCUGCCUGCUAGAGCAUCAGCAGAUCAUUUAUUAUGACAAUGCAGAGUCAGCUGUUUGAGCUCAAGUGGAGGUAGGCACUCUGUGGCAAAAGUCACACACCAACAUGGGUGUUCCUCAGGAAAGAAACAAACCUGUCUUGUUCCAGCACUAUAAUUUGGGGUCUUUGUAGCAAUAGCUCAACCUGACAUUUAUGAGCGCAGUUGUAAAACAAUAUGUAUCGACUGUGGGAUCAACAGCUGCAACACGUAUCCAAACACCGAGACAGGAAUGAACCGGUCAAACAAAUCAGACUGCAUUCUCUAAACACUGGACAGUUGAAGAGAGUCAAAAUCAUGCAAAAAAGUGAGAUAGGGAGUUAAUCCAAGGACAGUAGGCAAAGAGUAAAUGGGAAGACAUACAGAUAGAGGAUUAGAGAUGCAGAUAGAGGAUAUAUUCAAAGAAAGUAACAGGCAGAGGACAUGCAGGAGUGAGAGGACUCUGGCCCAUAUGCAGCAGUAAGCUGCCAUUGCAGGCCUUUUGGUCACGUUUUUCCCUCUGUGCCUCUGUUCACUGAAGGGACAGUGCAGCAGGGAGAGCAAGCAGACACACUCGCACACACACUCGCACACACACACAGACACACACACAAAUGCAUGCAAAGCGGUGCCUUAUUUGCAAGGGAAAGCUGGUGCCCCUGCAGCAGAUUGUUGCCAUGCCUCGGUGCCUUCCUUGCUGUGGGCCCAGACAAUGACCACGCAACACCGUAAGACCCCUGAACAUCAGAGCAGGCUGAGCUCAGGGGUUGAGACACAAGUUUCCUCAGACACACAGCUGUGGACACUGUUUUUGUUCGGGGUGUCGUGACCUUCUUGAAUGACCAGAUGACUGGGGUAAAACUUGAAGUACAGAUUCUAAUAAAUAGAUUAAUAAAUGUUGACACUUGAAGUUUCAGCAACAACAAAAUUAUCAUAAAAAAAAAUCAAAAUAGUCAGCUGAACCAUUUGCACAAAGACAGCUUGAGUUCCAAACUUUUUUAACAGGGAUUUUCAAACAUUAAGGCUCAUAACUUCAACUCAGUCUGUAGAUUUCCAGGUUAAGAAUAAAGUUUUACUUCCUUCACCCUCUUCCUGUGUAAGGGUCUGCAUCGACCCGUUUUUGAUUUUAAAUACUUUUAAGAACCACUUAAAUAAGUUUUUUUGCAUAAAGACUAUUUGACUUUGUCAGGAACCUCUAUUUCAUCAAAAUAAAAAAUAAAAAAAUUAAAUUGACUAAAUUUUAAAAUGCUCUUAUUAACAUUAUGGCACUUGUCAUGUUGGGGUCGCUGUUGACCCGGUUAGAUCAAAUUCUAAUAAUCGGAGCAAAAACUGAAAUCAUAAGUGCACCGUCAGGCACCACACUGACAGUCAGAUCCUCCUCCAAUCAUGUGAGAUUUAGGAAAUUCAAAUUUUGUUUUUCCCUGCACAAAAACAGCCUCAGGCAUGUCCAGACAUGAGAGAUCAGUUCAGUAUAGAUGUCUGUGUGAGGGGUAUACUGACAAAGAAAGGCCUAGAGGACCACAACAAAAAAUAUUAUUAGCAAUAUUUUCAUGGAUAAUGAAGCCUAACAAGGUAACAGAGAGAUGAGAACCGAAGUGGAUGACAUGGGUCAAAACCAACCCUUAACAUAGUGGGCGCGUAGUAAAAGCUAACACAGGAGGAAGGUUAAUGACAAAUUGCAUGAUGGCUAGUAGAUAGGGAGAGAAAAGUUGGUGAAUAUUGACUGAACAGCAGGCUGCUGUAUGUAAACUCAGAUUAAAGCUGGUGGUCAACACAGAAACACAAAAUAAAUCAAACAUCCACUCAGUUAAGAGUAGUAAGGCUAAUACAAUUUGGGGCUUUCAAGCUGUCUAUGUUUGACUUAGUAAUCAGCACUUAGACAAAUUCACAAGAGUUACAUUUAAUUUCCUUAAGCCUAAUAUUUGUUAUAGGGACAAAUAUUUGCCAUAGUUUCCCUCUGGUUCUUUCAGUGCAGUAAGAUUUAAAUAGCCUUCACAAAAUAGCUGCUUCACAGAGCUGAUGAGACGUGUCGAUGAUAAAGUAAAAGUACAGCAAGGAUUCAUAGAUGCAAUCAGAUCCUCAAGCCCACAGGGUGACUUUGUCACUGUGGUGCUGCUAAUAAAGUUAUUUUCAAUCUCAUUUCAACCAAAAUGGCUGCCAGUAGUAUCCUCUCUUAACCUCUGCCAUACCUUCAUGUCUUUCACUCCUUCCUUUCCCCCCAUCACAAUACACCUCCCCACCUUGCAGUACAAGAACGGAGGGGAGAGAAAUAUCCCCCAAUUCCUGGUCUCCACAGCAACAGCAGUCAGAUGACCUUGUCUCCGACUUGUUCUGCUGAGUCAGAAAUGGAGGGAUGGGUGAGGGGGAUGUGAUGAGGAGAGAACAGGAGGGAGAGAAAGAGAGAAGGACGGCACAGAAAGAAAGGUGGUACUUAUUGUUAUUCUAAUAGAUUCAAGCUGGUAUAAUUGCUCAUUGAGUCAGUGCUGUGUCAUACCCAUUUACAUAAGGCUGAUUGUUUCUGUUAAAGAGCAGCCGUCCACAUAGAGCUCAGCAUAGAAGGACAGGGUCCUGAAUCAAUGGUGUGUAUAGUCGGUGAAUUUACAAAGUAUGACUUAAAGAUGGAGUGUAUGAUUCAGAGCUGCAGAUAAACAUUAUGCUCCACGGGGCUCCAGUGUCACUGACCAUAUGUGGUUACUAAGGAAAUGUGUGAAACAUGUGUCAGCAGGACUAAAACAGUGUGAGUGUGCGAGGUGCUUGUUGUUGCAUCCACUGUGUGUAUACUAUAUAUACACUAUAAAGACAAAGUAUGUGGACAACCAUACUUUACAUUCAUAAAUGACUGAUGAAAAGCCUCUGGUAAGGCUUUUCAAAAGGUAUUGGACUGUGGUUGCAGGGAUAUAGUCCAAUCCAGACAGAAAACACACUUGCAUUUAAGCAUUGUGAUGUGCUUGACUUGCAGACACCACUUUAGUUCAUCUCAAAGGUUUCUGAUGGGGUCAUGGUUCCAUGUGGGAAAGUCAGGUUUUUCCACACCAAAUUCCAAAGAAACCAUUGCUUCAUGGACCAUGCUUUGUGCACAUAUUGCUGUUACGCAAUGCUUGGAUAAUUUCAUGCUCAUAACUGUCUGUACAGGAGUAUGUAAAGAGGCCAUAUUAUGCAUAGACAGUCAAAAUUAAGCUUAGAGUGGGCGGGGGGUUGUAUUUGUGGGCUUGCAUGCUCGUGAAAGUGUGUGUGUGAAGGUGAUCCUGGCUAAUCCGGUUUUAUAAAUGUCUGACAUAAUCUGUGCUCCACUCGCAGUGUCCAGAGCAGAAAGAGGAAAGGAGACGAGACAGAGAGAAGAUGGGAGGGGGGUAGAGAGUGUGGGGGGAAAAGAGACAGAAGCUAAAAAACGAAGAGGGCUGAGAUCAGAGGGGACAGAUGAUGCGAAGGCAGAUGGGGGGAAAAGAUGAUAAAACUACGGCGUGAGAAGGAAGAGAGCUUAAAAAAGAAAUAAGACAAUAAAUGAAAGAGCUGAGGAAAGAAGGAGCCAGUUGGGCCACAGAAAAUUCCUCUGGGAUUAAGUGACAAAAGAGUGAGACAAUCAAUGAAGUUUCAUUUAUCAUGCAAUGACAGAUGUUUGGAAAGGGCAGGAGAGACUAAAGGUUGGGGGAGUCAAUAAUCAG